rnacentral:rRNA from 1 species
UAAGGUCAAGCUGUGAUGGGGAGAGGAAACAUGUUUUCCUCGAGUCGUUGAUUUCACACUGCCGAGAAAAGCCUCUAGCUAGAAGAUUGGUGCCCGUACCGCAAACCGACACAGGUAGUCAAGAUGAGAAUUCUAAGGUGAGCGAGCGAACUCUCGUUAAGGAACUCGGCAAAAUGACCCCGUAACUUCGGGAGAAGGGGUGCUCUUUGAGGUUCACGCUUCGAAGAGCCGCAGUGAAUAGGCCCAAGCGACUGUUUAUCAAAAACACAGGUCUCUGCUAAACCGUAAGGUGACGUAUAGGGGCUGACGCCUGCCCGGUGCUGGAAGGUUAAGAGGAGUGGUUAGCAUUAGCGAAGCUACGAAUCGAAGCCCCAGUAAACGGCGGCCGUAACUAUAACGGUCCUAAGGUAGCGAAAUUCCUUGUCGGGUAAGUUCCGACCCGCACGAAAGGCGUAACGAUUUGGGCACUGUCUCAACGAGAGACUCGGUGAAAUCAUAGUACCGGUGAAGAUGCCGGUUACCCGCGACAGGACGGAAAGACCCCGUGGAGCUUUACUGUAGCCUGAUAUUGAAAUUCGGUACAGUUUGUACAGGAUAGGUAGGAGCCUUAGAAACGUGAGCGCUAGCUUACGUGGAGGCAUUGGUGGGAUACUACCCUAAUUGUAUUGGAUUUCUAACCCGCAACUCUUAUCGAGUUGGGAGACAGUGUCAGGCGGGCAGUUUGACUGGGGCGGUCGCCUCCUAAAGUGUAACGGAGGCGCUCAAAGGUUCCCUCAGAAUGGUUGGAAAUCAUUCAUAGAGUGUAAAGGCAUAAGGGAGCUUGACUGCGAGACCUACAAGUCGAGCAGGGUCGAAAGACGGACUUAGUGAUCCGGUGGUUCCGCAUGGAAGGGCCAUCGCUCAACGGAUAAAAGCUACCCCGGGGAUAACAGGCUUAUCUCCCCCAAGAGUUCACAUCGACGGGGAGGUUUGGCACCUCGAUGUCGGCUCAUCGCAUCCUGGGGCUGUAGUCGGUCCCAAGGGUUGGGCUGUUCGCCCAUUAAAGCGGUACGCGAGCUGGGUUCAGAACGUCGUGAGACAGUUCGGUCCCUAUCCGUCGUGGGCGUAGGAAAUUUGAGAGGCGCUGUCCUUAGUACGAGAGGACCGGGAUGGACAUACCUCUGGUGUACCAGUUGUCGUGCCAACGGCAUAGCUGGGUAGCUAUGUAUGGACGGGAUAAGUGCUGAAAGCAUCUAAGCAUGAAGCCCCCCUCAAGAUGAGAUUUCCCAACUUCGGUUAUAAGAUCCCUCAAAGAUGAUGAGGUUAAUAGGUUCGAGGUGGAAGCGUAGUGAUACGUGGAGCUGACGAAUACUAAUCGAUCGAAGACUUAAUCAAUUU